rnacentral:lncRNA from 1 species
UCAGAAUGUGCUCUUUAGCAGCCUCAACAACAGUUAUUUGGAGGAAAGUGUGGUCUCUCUGAGGGCAGGGAUUCAACAUUUCUUCUCAAAGUUCCACGACCUUGGCUCUAAAGUGAAAACAGGUUCUGAAUUUAAAGAAAAAAAUAAAACUGGAGGCAUUUUAGGGCGUGCUUCAAGAACUAAAACGAGCUCCUGCAUAUAUUCCCAGUCACCUUGUCUCCAGCAUCCUGUUGAAUAUUCCAGCUCCUACAUGAGCUUCAAUGGUAUACUGAAUCAUCAUCAUCAUCAUCAUCAUCAUCAUCAUCAUCAUCAUCAUCAUCAUUCUGCAAUCAGUCCACAUUGCCUAGCCUCCAAAAAAGACUAGACAUUGGAAAGAUUUAUAUAGAAAUACCAUUUUGCAUUAGGUUGAUCCAAAAGUAAUUGCGGUUAUUGCAUUGUUGAAAUUUGCUGUUUGAUAUUGGAAUACAAUCUUAAAUAAAUGUGAUUAUGUUAUACAUCAUU